AGUGGCGAACGGGUGAGUAACACGUGGGCAACCUGCCCAAAAGGGGGGGAUAACACUUGGAAACAGGUGCUAAUACCGCAUAACCAUAGUUACCGCAUGGUAACUAUGUAAAAGGUGGCUAUGCUACCGCUUUUGGAUGGGCCCGCGGCGCAUUAGCUAGUUGGUGGGGUAAAGGCUUACCAAGGCAAUGAUGCGUAGCCGAACUGAGAGGUUGAUCGGCCACAUUGGGACUGAGACACGGCCCAAACUCCUACGGAAGGCAGCAG
rnacentral:rRNA from 1 species